CUGUGAGCUUUGGAUCGUCCUCAGAGAGAGCCAUCCCCGGAGCUCUGGAGGAAGGAGAGGGCCUGGCUCUGCACGGGUAUCCUGGAGACAACCGUGGAGAAAGGAUGGGAAAGGAGGCUCCACCUUCCUCAGCCCCACCCUGCUCUGGUUUCCAUGGCAAUCACUGAACAGGGUCCACCUCCUCUCCCCCCGCCCCCAGCAGCUCAACCUGACUCUCCGGGCAUAAGGGAC
rnacentral:lncRNA from 1 species